ACUGACUGGUCAAAGAGAAUCGUCUCUAAUCAGUGCAUCAUCGUUGCUAGCGACAGACGGGGGUGUCCUGAACAAACCCGCCAUUUUGAAAAAGUUUAGCCAGCUGUGUUUCUUUUAUUUGCUGCCUCCGGCUUCUUUUAAAACUAAAUUUGUCUUCUGCCGAGAAUCAAAGACAACACACCUUUGACGUUCUGUGUGUGUCUCGCGUUAGGUCACGGCAGUUUCCUGCGGCGUCGCUAUGAUGACCAGCCACGAUUGUCUCACGCAUGAGGCGAUACUAAAUCUGCAGUGGG